GCCAUCUUCGUUGGCCGCCGGCCGCCGGCCACCAAUGUCUACGUCGCUCAGUGUUGAAGUCGGGCGGUCGACCGCUACACGGCAAAGAUGAGAUGCCGCAGCGGCGGGUCAGCGGCGACAGAGGCUUGAUGAAACAUACGAGCCAAGUCGCGGUGGCCGGCAACCUGUGGUCUUCACAUCUAUCAAGUGCGUGACGUGCAACAUGUGCGUCAGCGGCGGCAAGGCGUCGACGAUUAUUUCAUCCCGGAUGGUGAAACAGUGCAGUUCUCCAUUUCCAUGGUUCACGACAACUGAUGAAUACAAACAUUGGUCCUGUAAUACUCUAGUUAUUAGUUUAGCCAUGAGACCAGAGAGUCCACUCUCUAAGGUAUUUUUUAUAUCAUUCAACGUCCGAGGUAUAUCAACCCUGCUACACAUCAGUUUGGUACUA